UACAGAGGUCUCAAGCGUUGUUCGGAUUCAUUGGGCGUAAAGGGUGUGUAGGUGGCGCGCUAAGUCGGGUGUGAAAUCUCGGGGCUUAACUCCGAAACUGCAUUCGAUACUGGCGUGCUUGAGGACUGGAGAGGAGACUGGAAUUCAUGGUGUAGCAGUGAAAUGCGUAGAGAUCAUGAGGAAGACCAGUGGCGAAGGCGGGUCUCUGGACAGUUCCUGACACUGAGGCGCGACAGCGUGGGGAGCAAACAGG
rnacentral:rRNA from 1 species